UACGGGGGGAGCAAGCGUUGUUCGGAUUUACUGGGCGUAAAGGGCGCGUAGGCGGCCACCGCAAGUCGACUGUGAAAUCUCCGGGCUUAACCCGGAAAGGUCAGCCGAUACUGCGGGGCUAGAGUGCAGAAGGGGCAACUGGAAUUCUCGGUGUAGCGGUGAAAUGCGUUGAUAUCCAUAGGAACUCCGGUGGCGAAGGCGGCGUGCUGGAUCUCUUCUGACGCUGAGGCGCGAAAGCCAGGGGAGCAAACGGG
rnacentral:rRNA from 1 species